rnacentral:rRNA from 1 species
UACGUAGGGUGCGAGCGUUAAUCGGAAUUACUGGGCGUAAAGCGUGCGCAGGCGGCUUUGCAAGACAGAGGUGAAAUCCCCGGGCUCAACCUGGGAACUGCCUUUGUGACUGCAAGGCUAGAGUACGGCAGAGGGAGAUGGAAUUCCGCGUGUAGCAGUGAAAUGCGUAGAUAUCGGGAGGAACACCAGUGGCGAAGGCGACUACCUGGCCUGUUCUUGACGCUGAGGCGCGAAAGCUAGGGGAGCAAACGGG